GCUGGGCAUGGUGGCGCGUGCCUGUAAUCCUAGCUACUCGGGAGGCUGAGACAGGAGAAUAGCUUGAACCCAGGAGGCAGAGGUUGCAGUGAGUUGAGAUUGUGCCACUGCACUUCAGCCUGGGUGAUAGAGCAAGACUCCAUCUCCA
rnacentral:SRP_RNA from 1 species